GACUUGUAGUCAUUUAGAGGCCGGUUCUGUUUCCAUAUGAAGUGAAGUUCGGCUGGACAGGAAGCCGAACAGAACCCGAUAAAUUCUCUUAAUUAAGUGGGCAACAGCUGCUCCAUCAUGGCUCCACAUCCUGUAGUCCAGGCAGUGAUCGAUUUCUCAGCUGGAGCAAUAGGGGGUACGGCGUGCGUGCUGAGCGGUCAGCCGUUUGACACAGCCAAAGUGAAGAUGCAGACGUUUCCCACCAUG